GAACAUUGCAGUUACUCAACGGAAGGGGAAGUGAUCUGAGUGAGAUUAUCCUAAAUGGUGUAAGGAUGCUCAAAGUACACAUUUUAGAUGCACACUAUCUUUUGUACAAAAGGAAGUGGGAAGUGAGGAUGUCAACUACAGAAUUAAAAUAGGUUGGGUGAAGUGAAGUGAAAAGAUGCAUUCUUUUUUAUUGCAAAUAUGGCUUAGUGGAAGGAGAAGUCUUGAUGGGAUGAUGAUUCAACCAACUAUGAUAUGUGGCAGCGGGUGUUUGGUGAUGAGAAAAUGACAUGAUUACAAGAUCAACAUGGAAGAAAUGACAUCGCUAAAAUGCAUAUAUGAAACUAUAAGAAUGGACUGGAAGGAAUGAAUGCAUUUGUUAAAAAGGGGAAAUGGCACCUAUUGAGGAAAAAUUAAGGUGAGAGAUCGAGAUGUUGUGGACACAUGCAUCAGAGACUAACAAAUGCAUUAUUAAGGAAGGUUGAGCUCAUUAAAGUUGUAGGGGUAUAAGCAAGCUAGGCUAAGGCCUAAGACUACAUGAAGGAAUUAGUAAAAAGGAUUGAGUGGGCCCAGACCUUUUUGAAGAUGUAGAAGAAAAAAUGUUGUGUUUCCACUUCUUAUCAAAUAGGGGAAAAAAUGCUAUUAUGUUUGCAGGCAGGAUGGAGGGACUCUUGAGCUUCGUAUGCUAUUUGCAACCUGGUGACAAGUUG
rnacentral:misc_RNA from 1 species